rnacentral:lncRNA from 1 species
GAGGACAGUGAGGUAAAAACACUUUAAAAACAACAAAGAAAUACAGUAAAGGGUCAAAUGUUCAAAAAAAGUGCUUUUGGAAGAUCUUUUAAAAAUAAAAAAAAAAUGAGAGAAGUUGAAGAAAAGUUGGAAUAAGAGUAAUGUAAGAAAACCAAGAAAAACAUGAAAGGAAGAUCACCAAAUGGUAGCGCAUAUCCAGAAAUUCACAGAGGAAAAUAAUCUAUUAAAAACUAGAAUUGAACAAGGGGAAGAUAAUGAUUUCCUAAGUCAAGAAGAAAUAAUAAAGCAAACUCAAAAGGCUGGAAUAAUAAAUGAAAACGUAUAACAUCUUAUCUUGAAAACAACUAACCUGGAAAAUAAAUCAAGAAGGGACAGUAUAAAAAAUAUUGGAUUCACAGAAGGUUAUGAUGAAAAAGAGUUUAGACACAAUACUCCAAGAAAUAUUCAGGAAAACUGACCAGAAAUUCUAGAAUCAGAGGGUGAAAUAGACAUGGAAAGAAUUCUCUGAUUACCAGCUCAAAGAGGCACAAUGAUUAAAAUGUGCAGGAUCAUAAUAGCUUUGUUCCAUAGGUCUCAGGUUAAAGAGUGCAUACUAUAAGCAUUAAGGGAGAAAUACUGUGGAGCUACAGUCAGAAAAACACAAGACUCAGCAGUAGCCCCAACAUUAAAAGAACACAGGUCUUAGAAAGAACAAGGCUUACAACCAUGAGUAAUAUAUCCAGAAAGGAUGAGCAUAAGUAUAAAAAGGAGAACCUCAUCUAUGGCUCUUGGGAAUGGCAUCAUUGCUUGGCUAUUUUGAAUGUACAUAUAUGGACCAAAGACUUGAGGUGGAGAUGAUUGCAGUGGAUUGAACAGAAUUAGUAGUGGAAUAAACCCAGUGGAACUGGGAUGGAAUGAAUAUCUCAUAUGGAAGAGGAAUGAGUAAAGGAACUACCACAGAGAAGGAGAGAAAUGUGAAAGAUGGAGAGGAGGUCUGGAAGUAUGAAAAACAUAUUCUCAUCAUGAAGAAAGAAAAACAUACACAAUUAGAAGGAAAUGAAAACAUUGGAAAUACAAAAAAGGAAAACAUAUGA